UCCGCAGAGAGGGCCUGCAAUAUCCCGCCUACUACCUUUCCUCCAGAAACUGACUUGUUGAAUAGUGAAUGAGUUCUUCUAUCCUCUGACUGGCGAUUUAUCGAAGGAAGAAGCUUUGAUAUCCCGUAAACAGAUGCCCUCGUUGGAUUUUGGGUAGUAGUUGAACUCUCUUUCAACAUUCUGACAGAACUUUUGUUGGUUUCUCCAGAGUGAGGAGCCAAAUUGAUUGACAUGUGGACAGAUUUUGGAGUUGAUCUCCUUUUAUCAAUCAAGCCUCCCACAGACUUAUUGCUGUUUGGAUGGACAUUUGUUCCACCUUUCAGUUGUGUGGAACUGACCAGUUUGCUAGAAGACUUUGGGAGUUUGGAGGCUCUGCUCUGACUUGAUUUUAAUGACGAAUUCAAUUGUCUUUU
rnacentral:misc_RNA from 1 species